rnacentral:rRNA from 1 species
CCUACGGGGUGCAGCAGUAGGGAAUUUUCGGCAAUGGGGGGAACCCUGACCGAGCAACGCCGCGUGAAGGAAGAAGGAAUUCGUUCUGUAAACUUCUGUUAUAAAGGAAGAAAGACGGAUGGAGGAAAUGACAUCCGAGUGACGGUACUUUAUGAGAAAGCCACGGCUAACUACGUGCCAGCAGCCGCGGUAAUACGGAGGUGGCAAGCGUUAUCCGGAAUUAUUGGGCGUAAAGAGGGAGCAGGCGGCAUCACAGGUCUGUGGUUAAAGACUGAAGCUUAACUUCAGUAAGCCAUAGAAACCGGGCAGCCAGGGUGCAGGAGAGGAUCGUUGAAUUCCAUGGGUAGCGGUGAAAUGGGUAAAUAAAUGGAGGAACAACAGUGGCGAAGGCGACGAUCUGGCCUGCAACUGACGCUCAGUCCCGAAAGCGUGGGGAGCAAAUAGGAUUAGAUACCCCAGGAGUC